rnacentral:rRNA from 1 species
UGAGUAACCUGCCCUUAACUCUGGGAUAAGCCUGGGAAAACUGGGUCUAAUACCGGAUAUGACUCCUCAUCGCAUGGUGGGGGGUGGAAAGCUUUUUUGUGGUUUUGGAUGGACUCGCGGCCUAUCAGCUUGUUGGUGAGGUAAUGGCUCACCAGGGCGACGACGGGUAGCCGGCCUGAGAGGGUGACCGGCCACACUGGGAUUGAGACACGGCCCAGACUCCUACGGGAGGCAG